GAACAUUUUCUAACUGAUAUUAUAACAAGACAACAAAUAAUUACCUAAGCAGGCAUGAUAAUACGAAAUAAAUACAAGUUACCAAGCAAGCAUCAGUCCAUUUCAACUCUUUUUACAGCCGGUACAAGACAAUCACAUUUGUUGACGAUAUUACAGGUUUUAUGAGCAUCUAGCUACAUCUUUCAAGGAGCAGCCAUUACAUUUUGAAACUUCAGCAAAUUAUAAAGAAAGUUGACAUCUUUUUGCUUCAUCAUCUACUGGAGGUUAACAUCAACUGCGGCAAAAAGAUUCAGUCCUCAUUGUCUGUAUUUACAAGGAAAUGUUACAAGAGUAAUUAUGUGCAAAUUUAUGAGC
rnacentral:lncRNA from 1 species